GACGAACGCUGGCGGCGUGCUUAACACAUGCAAGUCGAACGGAAAGGCCCUGCUUUUGUGGGGUGCUCGAGUGGCGAACGGGUGAGUAACACGUGAGUAACCUGCCCUUGACUUUGGGAUAACUUCAGGAAACUGGGGCUAAUACCGGAUAGGAGCUCCUGCUGCAUGGUGGGGGAUGGAAAGUUUCGGCGGUUGGGGAUGGACUCGCGGCUUAUCCGCUUGUUGGUGGGGUAGUGGCUUACCAAGGCUUUGACGGGUAGCCGGCCUGAGAGGGUGACCGGCCACAUUGGGACUGAGAUACGGCCCAGACGCCUACGGGAGGCAGCAGUGGGGAAUAUUGCACAAUGGGCGGAAGCCUGAUGCAGCAACGCCGCGUGCGGGAUGACGGCCUUCGGGUUGUAAACCGCUUUCGCCUGUGACGAAGCGUGAGUGACGGUAAUGGGUAAAGAAGCACCGGCUAACUACGUG
rnacentral:rRNA from 1 species